GGUUCCGUAGCUCAGUGGUCAGAGCGUCCGCCUGCCGAGCGGAAGGCCGCCGGUUCGAUUCCGGUCGGGACCG
rnacentral:tRNA from 1 species